GACGAACGCUGGCGGCGUGCUUAACACAUGCAAGUCGAACGGUAAGGCCCCUUCGGGGGUACACGAGUGGCGAACGGGUGAGUAACACGUGAGCAACCUGCCCUUGACUCUGGAAUAACAGUUGGAAACAGCUGCUAAUACUGGAUAUGCACCGGGCCCCUCCUGGGGUGUGGUGGAAAGCUCCGGCGGUCAGGGAUGGGCUCGCGGCCUAUCAGCUUGUUGGUGAGGUAAUGGCUCACCAAGGCUUCGACGGGUAGCCGGCCUGAGAGGGCGACCGGCCACACUGGGACUGAGAUACGGCCCAGACUCCUACGGGAGGCAGCAGUGGGGAAUAUUGCACAAUGGGCGCAAGCCUGAUGCAGCAACGCCGCGUGCGGGAUGACGGCCUUCGGGUUGUAAACCGCUUUCAGUAGGGACGAAGGGUGACUGACGGUACCUACAGAAGAAGGACCGGCUAACUACGUGCCAGCAGCCGCGGUGAUACGUAGGGUCCGAGCGUUGUCCGGAAUUAUUGGGCGUAAAGGGCUUGUAGGCGGUCCGUCGCGUCAGGAGUGAAAACUCAGGGCUUAACCCUGAGCCUGCUUUUGAUACGGGCGGACUAGAGGGAUGCAGGGGAGAACGGAAUUCCUGGUGGAGCGGUGGAAUGCGCAGAUAUCAGGAGGAACACCGGUGGCGAAGGCGGUUCUCUGGGCAUUACCUGACGCUGAGAAGCGAAAGCGUGGGGAGCAAACAGGCUUAGAUACCCUGGUAGUCCACGCCGUAAACGGUGGGCACUAGGUGUGGGGGACAUUCCACGUUCUCCGUGCCGAAGCUAACGCAUUAAGUGCCCCGCCUGGGGAGUACGGCCGCAAGGCUAAAACUCAAAGGAAUUGACGGGGGCCCGCACAAGCGGCGGAGCAUGCGGAUUAAUUCGAUGCAACGCGAAGAACCUUACCUGGGUUUGACAUAUGCCGGAAAGCUGCAGAGAUGUAGCCCCCGCAAGGUCGGUAUACAGGUGGUGCAUGGCUGUCGUCAGCUCGUGUCGUGAGAUGUUGGGUUAAGUCCCGCAACGAGCGCAACCCUCGUUCCAUGUUGCCAGCACGUAAUGGUGGGGACUCAUAGGAGACUGCCGGGGUCAACUCGGAGGAAGGUGGGGAUGACGUCAAGUCAUCAUGCCCCUUAAGUCCAGGGCUUCACGCAUGCUACAAUGGCUGGUACAAAGGGCUGCAAGACCGCGAGGUUUAGCCAAUCCCAUAAAACCAUUCUCAGUUCGGAUUGUAGGCUGCAACUCGCCUACAUGAAGCCGGAAUCGCUAGUAAUCGCGGAUCAGCAUGCCGCGGUGAAUACGUUCCCGGGCCUUGUACACACCGCCCGUCACACCACGAGAGUUUGUAACACCCGAAGUCGGUGGGAUAACCUGGGACAAAACUUAACCUCUUAUUAUCAUUAUAGGAAGUUAAGUUUUGUCCUAGGAGCCAGCCGCCUAAGGUGGGACAGAUGAUUGGGGUG
rnacentral:rRNA from 1 species